CAAAGCAGCACAGUAGUUCAUGAACCAAUCACGCGUUCAUUCAGUAGAACACAAAUCCUCAACGAUUCGGACACUUACUAAUAUCUUCCACCAACCACCAAGCUAACCAGAGCCGUGAUUACUGGUGGGAAGGAAACUGAAAACAGAUAGAAUGGCCGCCAGCGGUGUCUCAGAAUCCAGACUUCCUCUGUUGGACGACACGGUCGAUGGCUCCGUUGACUACAAAGGUCGCGCCGUCUCCAGAUUUUCCUCCGGUGGCUGGAGAUCUGCUUCUUUCAUCAUCGGUGUGGAAGUCGCGGAGAGGUUCGCGUACUACGGGAUAGAGUCCAAUCUGAUAAACUAUCUGACGGGCUCAUUGGGCCAGUCCACGGCCGCUGCGGCGGCCAAUGUCAAUGCGUGGGCGGGCAUGUGCUCGUUACUGCCUCUUUUAGGAGCAUUCGUUGCAGAUUCUUUCCUCGGGCGGUACCGCACCAUUGUUGUGGCUUCUGCUAUCUAUAUCUUGGGACUAGGAUUAUUGACCCUGUCGGCGAUUCUUCCUUCUAUCAGCAGUUCUGGCUGUGAAAACACCAACAAAAUUGUGUCAUGUUCUCAUCAGUUCCAAGUGAUCUUAUUCUUCUUCUCAUUAUAUCUAGUAGGAAUUGGACAAAGCGGGCACAAACCAUGUGUUCAAGCAUUUGGAGCAGAUCAAUUUGAUGGACAAAACCCAGAAGAGUGCAAAGCCAAGAGUUCAUUCUUUAAUUGGUGGUAUUUUUCUUUAUGUGCUGGAACCUUAGUGGCUCUCUGGAUGUUAAACUACAUCCAGGACAACCUUAGUUGGGCUCUUGGAUUUGGAAUUCCCUGCAUCACAAUGACCAUUGGAUUGGUUAUUUUCUUGCUUGGAACUAAGACUUACCGAUUCGUCAUCAAAGGGGAUGAGCGAAACCCAUUUCUAAGAAUUGGUCGUGUGUUCAUCUUAGCUAUUAAGAACUGGCGAACUUCAUCUUCAGCAAUAGCUAUUGAAGAAGAAGCUCAUGGAACACUACCUGACAAAAGUUCCUGCCAAUUCAGGUUUCUUAACAAAGCCUUGCUUGCCCCUGAUGGUUCAAAGGAAUAUGGAAAGCUGUGCAGUGUCAAUGAAGUGGAAGAAGCGAAGGCAGUACUUAGGCUUGGUCCAAUAUGGGCUACAAGCUUGGUAUAUGCCAUUGUGUUUGCACAACCACCAACAUUUUUUACGAAGCAAGGAGUCACCAUGGACAGGUCAAUUACUCCUGGCUUUAGCAUACCAGCUGCUACCCUCCAAUCCUUCGUUAGCCUUGCCAUUAUUUCCUUCCUCCCAAUAUAUGACCGCAUAAUCGUUCCAAUAGCAAGAUCGUUCACUCGCAAACCUGCUGGCAUUACAAUUCUCCAGAGAAUUGGAGCUGGACUGUUUAUAUCAGCCAUAUCUAUGUUGAUUGCUGCUUUGGUUGAGAUCAAGAGGUUGAGAACUGCUCAAGAAUGUGGCCUGGUUGACAUGCCUAAUGUGACAAUUCCAAUGAGUGUUUGGUGGUUGGUACCUCAAUAUGCUUUGGCUGGUGUUUCUAAUGUGUUCACCAUGGUUGGUCUUCAGGAAUUCUUCUAUGAUCAGGUCCCAAAUGACUUGAGGAGCGUGGGUCUUUCCCUCUAUCUCAGUAUAUUUGGUGUUGGGAGCUUUCUGAGCAGCUUUCUUAUCUCUGCCAUCGAGAAAGCAACUGGUGGGGAUGGUCGGGAUAGUUGGUUUGCUAAUAAUCUGAAUAGGGGACAUCUCGAUUACUUUUAUUUGCUACUGGCUGGUCUUAGUUUUGCUGCAUUGGCUGUCUACAUGUACUUUGCAAAAUCAUACAUUUAUAAUAAGGGAAACAGGACAUGAGUGCGCGGUUGUCCCAUUGCUCUGCUGCUGGUUUGUAGUGUAGUAUUAUGUUUGUCUUAAAUCCAUUCCACUUCUGUUAUAGUUUUAGUAUGCUCUAGAGGACAAAUAAGGGAGUAGAACUGCCAGAUAUCCAGCUUUAUAAAGGUACUAAGGGGGAGAGACUUCAGCCGCGGAGCCACAAAGGACUUGGAGCUGCUGAUGAUUGUUAUGUUGUUACCAAUAAAUAGAUAGUUGUCAUGGGCAGGCAUCUGUAAAUAAUGCCAAAUUCCUUUAAUGGAGAUCAUGUGUAUCGUUUAAUUUUUCAAAGUAAAUCUUUGCAUAUGUAUUUAGUGACAAAAUAUCAUAAAUGUGUUUAUAAUUAUUAAUAA